UACGAAGGGGGCUAGCGUUGUUCGGAAUCACUGGGCGUAAAGCGCACGUAGGCGGCUUUUUAAGUCAGGGGUGAAAUCCUGGAGCUCAACUCCAGAACUGCCUUUGAUACUGGGAAGCUUGAGUCCGGGAGAGGUGAGUGGAACUCCGAGUGUAGAGGUGAAAUUCGUAGAUAUUCGCAAGAACACCAGUGGCGAAGGCGGCUCACUGGCCCGAUACUGACGCUGAGGCACGAAAGCGUGGGGAGCAAACAGG
rnacentral:rRNA from 1 species